rnacentral:rRNA from 1 species
AUACGGAGGGUGCAAGCGUUACUCGGAAUCACUGGGCGUAAAGCGCGCGCAGGCGGCUUGAUAAGUUGGAUGUGAAAGCCUACGGCUCAACCGUAGAACUGCAUCCAAAACUGUCAAGCUAGAGUGUGUGAGAGGAAGAUGGAAUUAGUUGUGUAGGGGUAAAAUCCGUAGAGAUAACUAGGAAUACCAAAAGCGAAGGCAAUCUUCUGGAACACUACUGACGCUGAGGCGCGAAAGCGUGGGGAGCAAACGGGAUUAGAAACCCUAGUAGUCC